rnacentral:snRNA from 1 species
AAUUCUUCCCUUGCUUUUAGCCUAAGAUCAAGUAUAGUAUCUAUUCAUGUCAGCUUAAUAUCUUAUUUGUCUUUUCUAUAAAGAUAGCAUAUUAAAUGAAUUUUUGGAGCAGGGAGAUGUCUACUCCCCUCAUCAACCUGAUAUUGACUCCAGGAAUAGUGCACCUCGU